CGGGGACCUAGGUGGCUUCAAUUGGUUAUGAGAUGAGGGAAAGUUGACUGACAUGGAUGAUAAUGUGCAACAAAGGCCUAUUACUCUGCUGAUAAAAAGGAGCUAGACGGUAAAAGCUGUUGGUUAAGGUAGUAGGAGUAAUGGGGUUAACUAGGCCAAUGUAGCUUACCGAUACGAGUAAAAGAUUGUCUAGAUAUGAUCUUUUCACUGGACAUGGUUAGUCUUUAGACAGAUGGUUAUAUAUGAAAUUCUGCCAGUAAUUGUGCUGAAUAUGCUUGGUGCCUUAAUAGUUUAAGAAGUAUAG
rnacentral:misc_RNA from 1 species